rnacentral:lncRNA from 1 species
AGAAGCAAGAGGUAAGAUGGUUUGGGGGAUGUCUCUGAGCCAACACUAUUCAUUUGGAGAAAGAUGAAAAACUACAUACAAGUCACCUCACCUCACAGCUUAAAUCUUGUUGAUGGCCAUGAUGCAUAGAGUACCAUGACACCUUGUUGAUGUUGAUAAAAGAGGCCAUGUUGAAAACCUUGGUCCAUCUUGCUGCUUAAGACAAUGUCGAAGUAAGUGUUAUGUGCUGCUACAGUAGUCCAGUUGGAAGUCUAUGAACUGAACUGCAAACUAAAGCUAUGUUGAAGUAACUGAUGACUAUUCACAACCACGAACUAACCAUGUUGAUGUCCAAAUGGAGACCUUGUAAUAGCCAUGAUCCCUGUUGACAGCGGAGACACUGUUGAAUUCUGUGGUCAGUACUGCCUCCUGAAACCAUAUUCAGGGAAGUGUUCUAUUUUGUUCCCAAGAACCAGUAUAAUGUAUAAAAUUCAAACUGCUCAAUGGCAAUAUAUUGAUACUGUGGAUGAAUAAGCAAUGGAAUCUUUACUGAUAUCAGUGAUCCAUGAUUCAGCCCAAUUUAUGAGAAGUGUUCAACCAGUUGUAACUAUUUUGAUGUCACACUGAAUCCUGACACUAGAGGUUUCUGUAUAUAGUCUUACCUGUUC